GGCAAGAGGAGGGCAGAGCCGAGCCGGGCCGCUCUCCCGCCCACCCGGGCCAGUCGGACCAGCGGACUGACAGCACCUGUCGUGCGCCCCUGGGCCCAGCGCCUUCUCGCUCCCCUGCUCCUACCAGAGGCUGUGGCCCAGCCGGGGGGGAUCCGGGACUAGAGAGAGACCGGCGGGGCGAAAGACAGGAAUCCUGGCCUGCUAGGACAACCACCCUUCCCGCCCAGGGGAAGCGGGCGGAAGGCAGACUGGAAGACCCAGCCUCAGGCCCUGCCAACUGUCCGGCGAGCCAGACGGACAGACAGCAGCUGCCGCGUGUCCGGGCUCAACUCCUCCUCCAUCCCCUCCCGCCACCGCCCUGCCCGCGCCACCGCCACCAAGGGCUGCAGCGGCGACAUCCGCUCCCCCCAAGCCCCCUCCAUUUCUCCGUCCGGAGACCUCGACGUCAUCCGUGCUAGGCCCCCGAGAACCCCUUCCAACCGGCGGCUCCCUCAUCCCACCACCAGCCCCGUCCCCAAGGUCCCAAGGGCGGACUCUGGCCGCUGCUAGCUAAGGACCUACAACAGGCCAGGCUCAAGGCCCGCCGUGAUGAGGAGCCCGGGGGCGGGCCCGGGGCAGCCAUCUUCCUCCCCUCCUCUCCAAACUUCAACCCUGGGCCCACCCUGCGGGGCUGCCUCCCCCACGCAAGUCACCCCAGUGGGGCUGCUUCUGCCAAAUACCCCUUAAACUCCCCCCCCCCCCAGUCACCAUAAAAAGUGUCCCAGAAGUCGGGGGGCUACCGCGCAGGUGGGAGCUCCCAGCUCAGGCCCUCUCCCUCACCACAUGGUUUUCCGGAUCCCCCCCAGGGAGCUCAGCCCCCAUCCGCUGCCCUACGAUCACACAGGUGAGCAAGCGGGGUUUCCUAGAGCUGAGAACCCUCCUCCAAACCUGCCUGGAGACACAGGAAUGGUGGGAAGGAACAGAUCGAGGCUGAGGCCGGCAGUCCUCAGUUUGUUCCUCUCCCAACACUCCUCCACCCUCCUCUCCACCAACCUGAUUCCUUCUGCCGCUUGCCCAGUGGGGGUGAAGGAGAGAGGUGGGGCAACCGCCUCCACUCCUCCUCCCACACACGCACAUAACCCUCCCUCCCCCAAGGUGCAGUCUUGGUGCGGGGUGGCGAGAGCAGCCUUGCAGAUCCUUCUGCCUUAAGGCCUUGCAAAGGCCAGUUUCCUUCUGUCAGUCCGGGAUCUUCUAGCUAUCUGCCUGCUUAUCUGCCACUUCCUCUCCACCCCCAUACACAGGUGCAGACCUCCCUUCAUCCCCCAGUGCCCUGAGCACAAACCUCCCCCGUCCCCCCGUCCAGCAUAUCUGGACAUAGAGACCUCCUUUGAAAACCUGUGGAAAUUACAGUUCACCGGUGUUCCCCUAUGCCUCCUCACACUUGACCCUCCCUCCAACCGUGGAAGGCAGCUGCUCUUAGGCCCCGUUUUACCGAUGGGGGAAUUGAGGCCCAGAGGGGAACUGAACGCCAGAUUUUGAACCCCUCCAAGGUACUUUCCACCCCACAUCACAGAAAGGAGGGAAGUGAGCAAAUCUUUUCCCCCCUGACUGUUCAGAAAACCUGCUUGCUGCUCCUGGAGUCAGCACUUUCUCCCGCCAUGCCCAUUCAGUCCCCUAGUGAAGGCUUCCGGCAGGGAGUGGCACCACAACCCCAACAUGGAGACGUGGAGGGCAACAGAAGCUGAGCCAGAGUCCUUGUGUGUCCCCACUCCAUCCCCUCUUCAGUCUCCCCCAUGAAGGGCAUAUGGAAGAGGAAAUAGUAGUCUCAGAUCUGCCUUUCCCUGGGAGUAUGCGUCAUUGCCCUCUGGGUUCCUCUCCCCUUCUAAAUGGAGGUAAAACUCCAAAAUGAGCUCUCCUGUGCCUUGCUCCCUCAGUCCUUCUCUCAUCAUUCAAUAAAAUUAUCAUCACUGAGGGCUCAUUCCCAGGGCCUUGCUUGAUGCCUGACACUCAAA